GAUGAACGCUGGCGGCGUGCCUAAUACAUGCAAGUCGAGCGAACGGACGAGAAGCUUGCUUCUCUGAUGUUAGCGGCGGACGGGUGAGUAACACGUGGAUAACCUACCUAUAAGACUGGGAUAACUUCGGGAAACCGGAGCUAAUACCGGAUAAUAUUUUGAACCGCAUGGUUCAACAGUGAAAGACGGUCUUACUGUCACUUAUAGAUGGAUCCGCGCUGCAUUAGCUAGUUGGUAAGGUAACGGCUUACCAAGGCAACGAUGCAUAGCCGACCUGAGAGGAUGAUCGGCCACACUGGAACUGAGACACGGUCCAGACUCCUACGGGAGGCAGCAGUAGGGAAUCUUCCGCAAUGGGCGAAAGCCUGACGGAGCAACGCCGCGUGAGUGAUGAAGGUCUUCGGAUCGUAAAACUCUGUUAUUAGGGAAGAACAUAUGUGUAAGUAACUGUGCACAUCUUGACGGUACCUAAUCAGAAAGCCACGGCUAACUACGUG
rnacentral:rRNA from 1 species